UCUCACUAAAAAAAAUGAGCCCCAAUUUUCUUUUGUCAUUUCCCUUCUAAAUACCCCAAAACCGAACAAUCAAAAGCUUAUCUUUUCUCAAAGUUUUCCCUGCUUGAAUCCCUCUUACGAACUUUCUUCCCAUCUUUAGCCUUCGACAUCUUCCUCUCUAGCCCAAAGUUUGACCUCUAUUUCUCCUUUCCCCAUACCCCUCUUUCUCUCGCUGCGAGUGGCAUGGUGGACUCAUAGUAGUCGUGACGUGAUCUCAGUAGAGGUGCGUUUGGGUUUCCCCAAAUCCCCGUUUCUCUCAUUUCCCCAAAUCCCUAAAACUCAUUUUCCCCCAAAUUACUCUGCAGCCUCAUGCAUGCCGCCUGGAUGCUCACCCCGCCUGUGAAGGUUCUCUCCCCUUCAUCUCUCUAUCUUUGCUCUCUCAGGUGUGUAUAUACAUAUAUAUGUAAUUAAUUUUUUUUUCUUUUCUUUUUAUGUCUGUUCUUUCACCUUCUCUCCUAUUUUGUGGUGUUUUUCUCAGUUCUCACUCAGCUGCCUCUCUCUCUCACGCUUAUAUAUAUGCAACUAAUUUUAUUUUAUUCUUCAUUCUGUAAAAAAAAAUAGCUAUCUUUCUCCCUCACCGAUUCUCUCUCUCUCUCACUCUUAGAUCGACCCACUGCUCCGCCCUAGUCCUCCGUUGUUGCUAGCUCUGUUGCUCUGCCGACAUCCUAAACAGAGCACACGAUUAAGGCCACAUAAACAAUCAGUAUAAUACUUGCUUCAGGGAGCUUGUUAAAUCUGGAAAAAGCAAAAUCGAGGCUCAAAAUAUAUUAAAGGUAUUGAUACUAGCCUUGUUUUUCGAAUUCAGAGUCGUUGGCACUGCUGGAAAGAACAUGGAAGACUAGGUGAGUCUUUCCCCAUUCGUUGAGCUGUUGUGUUUGAAUUGGCAUGAAGAUAUAGAUGUUCCUUGUCUUAUCGUAUCUAUCUUUGACAAAAGGUUAUCCUUCUAGAUACUAGAUACCACCGAGACCCUCUCUCUAGCGAUGGGACUAUCUUGGGGGCUUCACAAUGGACAUGGUUUGGAAAAGGAGCUCAACAGUACACCUUCAGCUAUCACUAUAAUUGGCUCUUCUAUUUAGGUAUCUGUUAAUAAUACAUGAGACAUGACAUAACUGUAAAAUGUGGUUCUCAACUAUCUUACAUGAAAGGUAAUCUUUUGAACUUAUAUAUAUUUAUUUUAAAUUAUGGAUUUAUUAUUUGUGUGUAUGGUGUGUUUAUAUGUAUAUGUAUAUAUAUCAACACUAUCACAACUUUUUAUUUUUAAUUCAAAUAACAAGUUCGAUGCCAAUUUUGUGUUAGUUAUUGAACCACCGUCUUCCUUGCUUAGAUUAG